rfam:Planctomycetes bacterium RIFCSPHIGHO2_02_FTLL_38_41 rifcsphigho2_02_scaffold_33822, whole genome shotgun sequence.
GCCGAAGUGGCGGAAUUGGCAGACGCGCUAGAUUCAGGGUCUAGUCCCGGUAACGGGGUCAGGGUUCAAGUCCCUGCUUCGGCA